AAUUAUAUUUAAAACGCUUAUUAAAAAAAGAAUAAAAAGUCGUCCGAUGAUUUUGAAAAUUUUACCACGUCUGGGUUAAUCCAAUAUAAAUAUUAUCACCAAACUCCAAGUCCCUACGUAUAUUUAUAACCGAAUUACAGCGAAAAAACUCCCAAAAAUGUAACAUUUUUAAAAGCUCAAAAGUGGCUCAAAAGUUUUAGCAAUGAUAGCGUAGGAAAGUAAAUCAAGAAGGCAACAAAAAAAAAUGUCCUUUGAUGAAAUCAUUUUUUCCGCUAGAAAACGUCGUCCGUGUUUUAAUGAAAUCGUGAAAUUGUACGUUCUCCUACGUUUUUUCCCACUUGAAUGCUUAUAUUUAAAAAAUGGCGUUGAAAAUCAAAAAAAUAACCUCCUUAAAAUAU